rnacentral:rRNA from 1 species
CCCCCAAGUAGAGCGGCGAACGGGUGAGUAACGCGUGGGUGAUCUACCUUCGAGUGGGGAAUAACACCGGGAAACUGGUGCUAAUACCGCAUGACAUCUCUGGUUCAUUCUGGAGAUCAAAGCCGGGGACCGUAAGGCCUGGCGCUUGAAGAGGAGCCCGCGUCCGAUUAGCUAGUUGGCGGGGUAACGGCCCACCAAGGCUUCGAUCGGUAGCCGGCCUGAGAGGGCGGACGGCCACACUGGGAC